rnacentral:rRNA from 1 species
UGGGGAAUCUUCCGCAAUGGACGAAAGUCUGACGGAGCAACGCCGCGUGAGUGAAGACGGCCUUCGGGUUGUAAAGCUCUGUGAUCCGGGACGAAAGAGCCUGAGGUAAAUAGCCUAAGGAAGUGACGGUACCGGAAAAGCAAGCCACGGCUAACUACGUGCCAGCAGCCGCGGUAAUACGUAGGUGGCAAGCGUUGUCCGGAAUUAUUGGGCGUAAAGCGCGCGCAGGCGGCUUCCUAAGUCCAUCUUAAAAGUGCGGGGCUUAACCCCGUGAUGGGAUGGAAACUGGGAAGCUGGAGUAUCGGAGAGGAAAGUGGAAUUCCUAGUGUAGCAGUGAAAUGCGUAGAGAUUAGGAAGAAAACCGGUGGCGAAGGCGACUUUCUGGACGAAAACUGACGCUGAGGCGCGAAAGCGUGGGGAGCAAACAGG